rnacentral:rRNA from 1 species
AUAUGUCGGGUUGCCUGGAAUGGUACCCUAUUGAAAUGUUCCGACGCCUAAGGAUGGAUCUGCGGCAGAUUAGGUUGUUGGUGGGGUAAUGGCCCACCAAGCCUGUGAUCUGUACGGGUUGUGAGAGCAAGAGCCCGGAGAUGGAUUCUGAGACACGAAUCCAGGCCCUACGGGGUGCAGCAGGCGCGAAAACUUUACAAUGCUGGCAACAGCGAUAAGGGAACCUCGAGUGCCAGGUUACAAAUCUGGCUGUCGAGAUGCCUAAAAAGCAUUUCAUAGCAAGGGCCGGGCAAGACCGGCGCCAGCCGCCGCGGUAACACCGGCGGCUCGAGUGGUAACCGCUAUUAUUGGGUCUAAAGGGUCUGUAGCCGGCCGGAUAAGUCUCUUGAGAAAUCUGGCAGCUUAACUGUCAGGCUUUCAGGAGAUACUGUCUGGCUCGAGGCCGGGAGAGGUGAGAGGUACUUCAGGGGUAGGGGUGAAAUCUUGUAAUCCUUGAAGGACCACCAGUGGCGAAGGCGUCUCACCAGAACGGACCUGACGGCAAGGGACGAAAGCUAGGGGCACGAACCGGAUUAGAUACCCGGGUAGUCCUAGCCGUAAACGAUACUCGCUAGGUGUCGGCCACGGUGCGACCGUUGUCGGUGCCGUAGGGAAGCCGUGAAGCGAGCCACCUGGGAAGUACGGCCGCAAGGCUGAAACUUAAAGGAAUUGGCGGGGGAGCACAA